UUUCAUAAAACAUACUGUAAAGUGUUCAUCUAGGUGUCAGCUAUAAUGCACACCUUUUAUAUUUUUCAUAAUUAUUCAAAUAGACUGUAAAUCAUGUGUAAAAUAUUGCUACUUUUCAUUACCGAAUGGGCUUAAAUACAAAUUUAAAGCUCAAUAAAAAUUGAACAGAAUGACUCACAUUCAUAAAACAUACUGUAAAGUGUUCAUCUAGGUGUCAGCUAUAAUGCACACCUUUUAUAUUUUUCAUAAUUAUUCAAAUAGACUGUAAAUCAUGUGUAAAAUAUUGCUACUUUUCAUUACCGAAUGGGCUUAAAUACAAAUUUAAAGCUCAAUAAAAAUUGAACAGGAUGACUCACUUUCAUAAAACAUACUGUAAAGUGUUCAUCUAGGUGUCAGCUAUAAUGCACACCUUUUAUAUUUUUCAUAAUUAUUCAAAUAGACUGUAAAUCAUGUGUAAAAUAUUGCUACUUUUCAUUACCGAAUGGGCUUAAAUACAAAUUUAAAGCUCAAUAAAAAUUGAACAGAAUGACUCACAUUCAAAAAACAUACUGUAAAGUGUUCAUCUAGGUGUCAGCUAUAAUGCACACCUUUUAUAUUUUUCAUAAUUAUUCAAAUAGACUGUAAAUCAUGUGUAAAAUAUUGCUAUUUUUCAUUACCGAAUGGGCUCAAAUGUAAAAUAUGCCAUAAUUUAAAGCUCAAUAGAAUUUGAACAGAAUGACUCACAUUCAUAAAACAUACUGUAAGGUGUUCAUUUAGGUGUCAACUAUAAGCCACACCAUUCAGAUUUUUCAUAAUUAUUCAAAUAAACUGUUAAUCAUAUGUAAAAUAUUGCUAUUUUUCAUUACCGAAUGGGCUCAAAUGUAAAAUAUGCCAUAAUUUGAACCUCAAUAGAAUUUGAACAGAAUGACUCACAUUCAUAAAACAUACUGUAAAGUGUUUAUCUAGGUGUCAGCUAUAAUGCACACCUUUUAUAUUUUUCAUAAUUAUUCAAAUAGACUGUAAAUUAUGUGUAAAAUAUUGCUACUUUUCAUUACCGAAUGGGCUUAAAUACAAAUUUAAAGCUCAAUAAAAAUUGAACAGAAUGACUCACAUU